rnacentral:rRNA from 1 species
UACGAAGGGGGCUAGCGUUGCUCGGAAUUACUGGGCGUAAAGGGCGCGUAGGCGGAUAGUUCAGUCGGGGGUGAAAGCCCGGGGCUCAACCUCGGAACUGCCUUCGAUACUGGCUAUCUUGAGUACGGGAGAGGUGUGUGGAACUCCGAGUGUAGAGGUGAAAUUCGUAGAUAUUCGCAAGAACACCAGUGGCGAAGGCGAGUCCCUGGACAACACCUGACACUGAGGCACGAAAGCGAGGGGAGCAAACAGG